rnacentral:rRNA from 1 species
AUGGCUUUCUCUGCCCGGCCCCCAGCGGAGUCAGACGGCGAUCGGGACGGGCCACCGACAUCGGCACUACCACCCCUCCUCUCGUUUGUGCGGAUCCUGCGCCGUGGGCCUUGGAAUUGUUAUCUUCUCUCGUGCUUCAGUCUCAUGGGCCUUCUUGAGCGAAUUCCACCUCUGCUGUUACGCUUGUCAAUUGUCAUCCCUAAAAAAAAAAAAAAAAAAUGUCUCAAAAAAAAAAUCCCUAAAAAAAAACGUACUUCACCCUCGAUGCGAUCAACUCGCUCCUGCCCUAGAUCAGUAUUUUCUCCGUGA